AGCGGGGUAGAGGAAUGGUCAACUCAUCCGGCUCAUGACCGGAAGAUUGCAGGUUCGAAUCCUGUUUCCGCUA
rnacentral:tRNA from 1 species